GUAGGUGGCAAGCGUUGUCCGGAAUUAUUGGGCGUAAAGCGCGCGCAGGUGGGUUCUUUAAGUCUGAUGUGAAAGACCCCCGGGCUCAACCGGGGAGGGUCAUUGGAAACUGGGGAACGUUGAGUGCAGGAGAGGAAAGUGGAAUUCCACGUGUAGCGGUGAAAUGCGUAGAUAUUUGGAGGAACACCAGUGGCGAAGGCGACUUUCUGGCCUGUAACUGACACUGAGGCGCGAAAGCGUGGGGAGCAAACAGGAUUAGAUACCCUGGUAGUUCACGCCGUAAACGAUGAGUGCUAAGUGUUGGGGGGGUUUCCGCCCCUCAGUGCUGCAGCUAACGCAUUAAGCACUCCGCCUGGGGAGUACGGUCGCAAAGACUG
rnacentral:rRNA from 1 species